GAUGAACGCUGGCGGCGUGCCUAAUACAUACAAGUCGAGCGAACGGACGAGAAGCUUGCUUCUCUGAUGUUAGCGGCGGACGGGUGAGUAACACGUGGAUAACCUACCUAUAAGACUGGGAUAACUUCGGGAAACCGGAGCUAAUACCGGAUAAUAUUUUGAACCGCAUGGUUCAAAAGUGAAAGACGGUCUUGCUGUCACUUAUAGAUGGAUCCGCGCUGCAUUAGCUAGUUGGUAAGGUAACGGCUUACCAAGGCAACGAUGCAUAGCCGACCUGAGAGGGUGAUCGGCCACACUGGAACUGAGACACGGUCCAGACUCCUACGGGAGGCAGCAGUGGGGAAUCUUCCGCAAUGGGCGAAAGCCUGACGGAGCAACGCCGCGUGAGUGAUGAAGGUCUUCGGAUCGUAAAACUCUGUUAUUAGGGAAGAACAUAUGUGUAAGUAACUGUGCACAUCUUGACGGUACCUAAUCAGAAAGCCACGGCUAACUACGUG
rnacentral:rRNA from 1 species